UCAGUUAAUAAAAAGAAAAAUAAAAGGUUAAAAAAUGAAAACCCUCAAAAAGACAACAACAACAACAAUUCGUUUGAUAGGACAAUAGCUACAUGGAUCACUCUGAAGGCAAUGGUAAGAAGAAUUUGAAAUAUCCUUUAGUUUUCUUAUCAUUUGGAUUAUAUUUAGAAUGCUAAUAUUUCAGAGUGAUGUUUUUUUUUUUUUUAAUUUUCAUGCACAACAAUUUGUAGUUUUUGGUUCUGGAGAUAAAUUGUCUUCUGAUAUUUUUUGGAAAAGUUGCAUUUUGUACAAGCAUUUUGUACUCCUUCACUCUGCACAAUUGUGAUCAAGAUACCAUAAGGAAUAGCUGAUAUGAGCCGUGCCAUGUGAAAACCAACAUAGUGGGUUUGCGACCAGCAUGGAUCCAGACCAGCCUGCGCAUCCGCGCAGUCUGGUCAGGAUCCAUGCUGUUCGCUUUCAAAGCCUAUUGGAAUUAGAGAAACUGUUAGCGAACAGCAUGGAUCCUGACCAGACUGCGCGGAUGCGCAGGCUGGUCUGGAUCCAUGCUGGUCGCAAACCCACUAUGUUGGUUUUCUCAUGGCACGGCUCAUAUAUAGACUUACAUCCUCCUCCCAGCGUUUGCGCUUUCCUAAGUAAAAAUGGGCGUAUAAAGAGAUGGUGAUAUAAUAUUUGAAGCUUUACGUUUUAAUGCCAUUACAUCAAUUACAAUACAAUUAAAACAUCUGUGGCGAAGUUGUUUUCCUAAUGAAACUGCUUUUAAUGAUUUUCAUUAUCUCUCGCUUCCAUUGUUAGUUGUAUAAAGUUUAAAUGUAGUAAUGCUGUUAACAAACAAAUGUUUUACAACACUGUAAAAUAAUUUACAAGGAUGGAGAGAUGCAUUACUGUUGUCACAGUGUGAUGUAUUAGUUCUUAUUACAUGGGCCUAGCUAUUCUUUGAGUAUGUAAGCGAAAUCUUUAGGGGCGAGGGAGAGCAUGCUCUAUCGUUGUUUUCUAGAACGCCUGGGAUGCAGUCUGGACGUAUUUUCACAAAAUGCUAAUGGUCAAAUUAAGGAAACAUAUAUAAGGACGCCGAAAACAAAUGAGAUACUGUUUUCUGUACUUUUACGAAACAACACAAACCUCAAAGAAAGUACUGUGUAAAUGAAAAAAAAAAAAAAACAAAUUUCACCAUACACUACCCUACAAUAAGAACAGAGAAGAUGAUUAAAUGUUGUUAGUCGGUGGCAGACCAUUUAGUACGAGCGGACAUCGUUGUGAAACAUUUUCAAUGAUAGAAAAAAUAACAUUAAGUUAGGGAGUAUGUUAGUUGUUCAAAGGGAGCAGUUACGUUUAAUGGUAACAACUGCUUGUUACUUAUAAUACUUAAGGUAACAGAAAAACAAAUCAGCAACUAU